rnacentral:lncRNA from 1 species
CAGGCACCUCAGAGCCCGGGACACCCCCUCAACGUCCGCAGGCGCGAUGAAGGCACUGAUCUUAGUGGGGGGCUAUGGGACGCGGCUACGGCCGCUGACGCUGAGCACCCCGAAGCCACUGGUGGACUUCUGCAAUAAGCCCAUCUUGCUGCACCAAGUGGAGGCGCUAGCCGCGGUAAGACCCUGGGUCGGGAUCAGAGUCGCGUUCGGAUCUGGCGGGACUAGGGAUGGCCAGCGACUAGGGGUCAGGGGCUCCCGUACCUUCUGACUGAGCCCGCCCGUCGGCCUGCGUUCUGACAGGCAGGCGUGGACCACGUGAUCCUGGCCGUGAGCUACAUGUCGCAGGUGCUGGAGAAGGAAAUGAAGGCACAGGAGCAGAGGCUGGGAAUCCGAAUCUCCAUGUCCCAUGAAGAGGAGCCUUUGGGGACAGCUGGGCCCCUGGCGCUGGCCCGUGACCUACUCUCUGAGACUGCAGACCCUUUCUUCGUCCUCAACAGUGACGUGAUCUGCGAUUUCCCCUUCCAAGCCAUGGUGCAGUUCCACCGGCACCAUG